rnacentral:rRNA from 1 species
GACGAACGCUGGCGGCGUGCUUAACACAUGCAAGUCGAACGGAAAGGCCCUGCUUUUGUGGGGUGCUCGAGUGGCGAACGGGUGAGUAACACGUGAGUAACCUGCCCUUGACUUUGGGAUAACUUCAGGAAACUGGGGCUAAUACCGGAUAGGAGCUCCUGCUGCAUGGUGGGGGUUGGAAAGUUUCGGCGGUUGGGGAUGGACUCGCGGCUUAUCAGCUUGUUGGUGGGGUAGUGGCUUACCAAGGCUUUGACGGGUAGCCGGCCUGAGAGGGUGACCGGCCACAUGGGGGUUGGGGACCGGCCCAGACUCCUCGGGGGGGGAGGGGGGGGGAAAUUUGAACAAGGGGGGGAAGCCGGAUGCAGCAACGCCGGGGGGGGGAGGAGGGCUUUGGGGUUGUAAACCGCUUUCCCCUGGGACGAAGGGGGGGGGAGGGUAAGGGGUAAAGGGGCCCCGGCUAACUACGU